rnacentral:rRNA from 1 species
AAUGACCUAACGGUUGAACCAGCAACUUGGAAGAAUGAAAAUGUAUUAAUAAAGAUUAAUACAGUUAACGUAUAGACGUAUAAAAUUCUAUAUAGAUUAAUGAUAAUGACAAUUAUCUAUUUAUUAGUCUUGACCAAUACUACGUGCCAGCAGUCGCGGUAAUACGUAAGAGACAAGUGUAAGUCAUCUUUAUUAGGUUUAAAGGGUACAUAGACGGAAAAUUAAACCUUAAAAGGGUACUUUUUUUCUAGAGUUUUAUGUGAGAAGGAGUGAAUUUUUGGAGAAAAGAUAAAAUUUAUUAAUAUCAAAAAGACAGGUAAUAGCUAAUACUGCCUUCUUUGUAAAAACUGACGUUGAGGUACGAAGGCUUGGGUAACGAUAAGGAUUAGUUACCCUAGUAGUCCAAGCAGAAAAUUCUGAAUGUCAUAAUCUAAAAAUAAUUUUAGCUUAUAAAUAAAAGUGUAAGCAUUCCACCUCAAGAGUACAAUGGCAACAUUAAAACUGAAAUCAUUAGACCGUCUCUGAAACCAGUAGUGAAGUAUGCUAUUUAAUUCGAUAAUCCGCGAUAAAUCUUACCACAAUUUGAAUAAUAUUUAAAAAUAUUACAAGCGCUGCACGGCUGUCUUUAGUUAAUGUCGUGAGAUCAGGUUAAUUCCUACAAUUAGCGAAAACCUUGGUUUUAUUUAAGUGUAUAAUAUACCUUGCCGUUAUACCGGACUAUCUAUACAUAGGAUCAAGACAAGUCAUCAUGGCCAAAAUAUUGU